rnacentral:lncRNA from 1 species
AUCAUGUCGUCAAAGGCUUCCAGCCCCUCCAUGACCCGGAGCACUCCGUACACUGCCAAGUCAGCAAGGUUUGGUUGGCUUCCACCCAUGAACAGCCUGUUUUUGCCAAUGGCUUUUACCCACUUAUCAACUGCUUCGUACAAGUCUUCUCGGACAUCAUCUCGAAGGUGAUGCCGUUUCUUCAGUCUCUUGCUAAUGAAGAACAUGGCAAUGGCCCCCAUGUACUUGGCAAAGAAGCCUUCCACAGUGCCAAACUUCCCCUC